ensembl:lncRNA
UAUCUCAUGAAUUGUGGAUGUGUAUGGAUAUAAAUCCAUGGAGUCCCAAACAGCACCGUUUGGGAAGCAGUCCAUAUUGUCCUAUAAAGUCUUAGAAUGACCGGAUCCUCUGUUGUCUAGAGGUGAAGGUCUCUCUACCUACAUUCGUCUUCUUGCUUUGACCAACACAUGAUUCUAGAGCUGUAGGUCUCUCUUCCUACAUUCGUCUUCUUGCUUUGACCAACACCUGUUCCAGGUUAAACCAGGUAUAGUGGAGAGUGACAGAGUUCCAGGUUAAACCAGGUAUAGUAGAGAGUGACAGAGUUCCAGGUUAAACCAGGUAUAGUGGAGAGUUCCAGGUUAAACCAGGUAUAGUGGAGAGUUCCAGGGUAAACCAGGUAUAGUAGAGUGACAGAGUUCCAGGUUAAACCAGGUAUAGUGGAGAGUUCCAGGUUAAACCAGGUAUAGUGGAGAAUUCCAGGUUAAACCAGGUAUAGUGGAGAGUUCCAGGGUAAACCAGGUAUAGUGGAGAGUGACAGAGUUCCAGGGUAAACCAGGUAUAGUAGAGAGUGACAGAGUUCCAGGGUAAACCAGGUAUAGUAGAGAGUUCCAGGGCAAACCAGGUAUAGUAGAGAGUUCCAGGUUAAACCAGGUAUAGUGGAGAGUUCCAGGGUAAACCAGGUAUAGUAGAGAGUUCCAGGUUAAACCAGGUAUAGUGGAGAGUUCCAGGGUAAACCAGGUAUAGUGGAGAGUUCCAGGUUAAACCAGGUAUAGUGGAGAGUUCCAGGUUAAACCAGGUAUAGUGGAGAGUUCCAGGGUAAACCAGGUAUAGUGGAGAGUUCCAGGGUAAACCAGGUAUA